UGCAUUUGUGACCUUCAGUUCCUUCCAGAGGAGGUUCCCUGAGGUAUCUGGGUAUUGCCACUGUGCUGACAGCCAAGGGCGGGAACUGGCUGAGACAGGUUUGGAGUUGUUACUGGAUGAAAUUUAUGACACCAUUUUUGCUGGCCUGGACCUUCCUUCCACCUUCACUGAAACCACCCUGUACCGGAUACUGCAGAGACGGUUCCUCGCAGUUCAAUCACUCAUCUCUGGCAGAUUCCGAUGCCCCACAAAAUGUGAAGUGGAGCGGUUUACGGCAACCAGCUUUGGUCACCCCUAUGUUCCAAGCUGCCACCAAAAUGGAGACUAUCAGGCGGUGCAGUGCCAGAUGGAAGGGCCCUGCUGGUGUGUGGACGCCCAGGGAAAGGAAAUGCAUGGAACCCGGCAGCAAGGGGAGCCGCCAUCUUGUGGUGGGUUUCCUCUGGGGGCUUCCUCUUUCGGCCUCGGAUCAUAUUACUUUAGCGGUCCUCCAGACCAACCUCUCUGAACCCCAUUAAUUCAACUGCCUUCUGGUGUGCCCCACUGGCCCUUCAAGCUCAACCUGUCUGAGAACCAGUUUAUCAUCAUUAACUUCCAACAUGUUUCUCAUCUUGUGUCAGACCUCGUUGCAUUUUCAGGGAGCUCAGGGAAUAUUAGGGGGCUCAUAGAUGA
rnacentral:sRNA from 1 species